rnacentral:ncRNA from 1 species
CGCAGCGGGAGAGUCCCGCCAUGGCGGGCGCCGUAGGAGCAACCUCCCCGGGAAUCUCUCAGGCCCCCUCACCGCUGCG